GAUUGGGCCAGGCUUUACUCGAGGUGUAUUUUUAGUCAGGGUGUGACAGUCAUUUCUCCAACUACAGUGACACACAUAGUGACGGCUUCUGCUUCCACACUUAUCCCGAUGGCCUCGGAUGUGGAGCACCUGGGCCCGGCACUCCACACCGGAUAUAUAAGCAGCUUACAGUGGCCUCGAUCUCUCUCUGUCUCUCGCUCCCCAUGACAGACCGGCGUUGCUUGUGUGAGCGCACUCUCAAACACACCGUUCACAUUACUGAUCAUACGGACUCUACACAUCUCCUUCUUACUUUCGGCACUUUUAGCUCCGUCUCUUUAUCCUUUUCAGGAUGUGGUGCAACAGAAAGUUGUCUCUUGGAUUUAACCGACUCCUUAUGAGAAGAAGCACAGCCUAUAGAGAGGACAAGGGGACAGAUUACUCCAAUUAUUUUCGGAAAGUAAAACUGAGCAUUUAAGCUUGUUUUCUUCUCUAUUAAAGCAAGAUAAAUUCAGGACAUCUUUAAGGUAGUAUUAAAGAAAAAACUGCUUAACUAAGACUUUUUCACAAACUCUGCAUGUUCUCUUUAACCUCCUUCAGCCACAGAAAGUCAUGAUGACCUUUUACUUUCCCAUUACCCUAUACUGUCAAAGUAUACCAUUAAACUAAUCUGGAUGUUUUCAUGUUUUUUUCUCUUGUGAAUGAGUCUCUGUACGAUGAUCCAGAUGAAUUUGCGCUCAAACUACUGUCAAAAUCUCAGUUUAAUAUGUCCAACGUAUCCUCCAUCAUUUUUUUCCGGCAAAGGGGCAGAAAAAAAACAGUUACUUACUUUUGGGGCUUUUUCGCAUUCAUUUAUUGAGACAGCUUGGGGUGUCCCAAAUCAUGCUGGAAUUGGAGUUUGAACCCGUGACCGGUGUAACAAGGACCAUAUGCUGCAUUCCAGUUACCUCAGAAGUCGGAUGUCGAAACUGGGAAUGACGUUACACCCGAUGUUGACCGCGUUCCAGUAAACAAGUCGGAAAACCAAGAUGAAUGCCUUCUGUUAGCUGUUGUUUACAUUUGUCCGCUGUCCUUAGUUGUUGUCAGCUGUUCUCAGUUGUUAGCAAUACCAAUUGUAAACAACGCAUAUCACAGUAUUUUACUCUUACAAACACCAUAGCACCGUGUUCACAGUUAGUUGUUUGGCAGUACAACAAAAAACACUUAUUUAAUUUCACAAAAAGAAAACAGAAGUGCUGAUAAAUGUUACAUUACAAGAGCUUUUACUGUUACUCUUGACUGUUGAUGCACUGCGCUGCCAUCUUGGAUUGUGAUGUUGUCGUCAGAUCGAGGUCGGUGAGGAUCGUCCAACUUUCCGAGACUUAAGGGGGGCGUUCCAGAUGAAUUUAAGCUUGGAAAUCCCGACUUCCGGGUAUAACUGGAACGCAGCAAUAGCCUCCAAUUAUGGGGCACAGUUACAGAGACAGUUUUUUACAUCACAUUUAACCACAUUUUCGUCCCUAUCAGCUUUGUGUCUCUUAAUUUGAUUCUCUAUACAUAAAAAUAUUUUAAAAUAUGCGCUUCUACGUCACCAAACGGUGUAUUUAUAGUUACAUCUCAACUUAAAAUGGACCUUUAAACGGCUUUAUUCACUUUCCUGAAGGAGCGUUCGCUUGUAAGUGUGCUCAUUAACACUUCAAACCCAAUUCUCUUAGUAAGUAAUUCAUUUAUUCAGAGCACUGACUCAUAAUCUCACAUUGUGCCUUCAGAUGAGUCAUUACGGUUCAUAACUGCUCACCUGUUUUCUCCUUUUGUGAGAGAAACAGGCUUUUAUAACCUUUUGUAUUCUGCAGGUGGUUAUUUGAGAAUUUCACGCGGCUUAUCCCUGACCCCAAAAAUAAUCUCCCGACAGCUGCAGCAGCCUACAGAAAAAAUCACGCUGCAAUGUGAUUUGCAAUGUCAGUAACAAUAAUUAUUUCAGGCUUUAAACCACAGAAACCCAGAUGUCACUUGUGUUCAGCGUGUGGGGGAGAGAGGCUCGGCUUCAAAGGGGAAAUUUCUCUGAUUCACUGUCGUGUUUCAUCAAUCUGCGCUUUUCAUCUCUCUCCAAAAGUUAUUUCGUGAUGCAGGGUCCGCUGACCUUUUCCGUGUCCAGUGAUCCCUCGGCCUGGCUCCCGCCUCCCAAAAACCGUCUUUUGUUCUCGGAUUUGGUUCGUGCAGCCAGGUUGUGAGAGGCAGCAACAGUUCGAAAAAGAGGAAACAGCUUUUAUACUCAAAGCAAUUAAAACAGCUGGUAGAGAUUCGUUUAUCAUCUGAACAAGCUGGAAAAGAGCCGUCUCUGGCCAGCUGGUCCUCAGAUGAAUUACUUGAAUGGGCCGCCUGAGUGUCUACAGUAUUAGGAGACUAUGUCGAGGGAUCCAUCAUCUUAUAAUGCGUCCAUUCGUGUGCCCCCCCAAGAUUUCUUCAAAGUUAUUCAAAGUAAUGGGAUGAGAAAAAAAAAUGCAAUUCUGCUGCGAGAAAAGAAAAUUUAAGAGGGCGACUCGGCAUGCAGCCUGUGACGACGCUAAAUCACUCUUGGUAUAGAUCGAGUCGAGCGAAGGACACUGACCUUGAGAGCUUGACAAGUUGUAGUCGUAAGAGGAAACAAGUGCAACUAAAGAUAAGAGAAGUCCCAAACUCAACUGAUAUGGAGGAUAAAAAACAAGCAGAGAUGGUUUUGCAAGCAUACAUGACAAUCUUUGUGCAUAUUUAUCAUAUUCAGACCUACGAAAACUUCUCUAAGACCCAAGAAACAGGAAGUCCUAUUCCUCUCAACCAUACUGCUCCAAUCUGACCCAAACCCACUUUGAUAUCUUAGGAGUCCAGGCCUGUAUGCAUUCAUGUGGCAAUAAUCAAUUCCAGUCACAAUGCCCCCUAGUGGCAAAAGGAAAUUCAAUGCCUUUACUCCUCAAACCGAAGCUUAAAAUUCAACAUUAAAUUUCCAACUGUUUCAGCUACAUCGACGUUAUGGCACAAGAUUGGGUUUAUGUUCCAGUCUGGAUACGUCCAUUUUUGAAUGUUUCAACAGGAAUGUAAACCUUCCAGUAAAGGAGGCAAGACACUUCAAUUGACAUGACAAACUCUGUGGUUGCUCCACACCCUAAAAUCUGCCAUACCAUACUAAAAUCUGUCCAAGAUCCCCUUUUAUUGCAAAACAUCGGUGUGUCUACUAAAUCACAAACUUCUCAGCUUUCACGUGCCCCAAUACUCAAAGUUGGUUCAUGCAUCAGGCCAGGUGAAAAUUUGGAUAUAUUACGGCUUCUGCACUAAACCAUACAAACAAAAACCGUGCUCCUUAGUGCCCCCUAUAAGCCCCUCAUGUAUCACACCAAAACCAAUAAAAAGCCUCUUAUCAUCAUUGUUCCACAAAUCCUUGUUGUAUUGGGUGUUCACAUUUGGUAUCGUCAUUGUACUUCAUUUUGAUUUUUGGUAUUUUCAUGGUUUAUGUUUUGAGGAAACAAUUUGUUGGGAUGAAUCUUCUUGUGCCUUGUUGGGUUUUUUUUGUCCCACUGAGGCUUUUUAGUCCAUUUUUCAUCACUUCUGUAAAUGCUAAGAAUUUGCGGUCGAAAUGGUGAAGAUGUUUUCUGCAGUUGGUCCGACUUUUUGCACGUCGAUUGUAGUUUCUUGGAGAGCUGUUGGGAUGAUGUUCGGGGUUUGAAUAUAUUCCAAACAGUGGGAAUCUCAUUGAUAUUCAAAAGCUGAAAUCAUUUAGUAUUCGAGCAGUUUUUCCCUCCUCCAUUAAUUUGAAGUGGCGACCCGCCACCCUUGCCGAACCCCUUGCAACUCCAGAAUGCACAAAAUAUGUUGUCCGUGGAAGUUCUGUGAUUUAUGUGCAGUCAUUUCAGUUGGGUCGGGUUGAUGAGGUUCCCUGCACCGAGCCAUCUCUCUGCUGCUCUCUGUUAUACGUGUGUGUUCCUACUGAAGGCAGGGCUCGUUCAUGCUUCACACUCUCAGCAAAGGCUUGAUUUUCAUGAAAGCGAGCACGUUAACAGGUCAGAGCUCUCAGACUGCCGGCAAGAAUCCAGAGAGUGGAAUACUUGCCUAUUUUUACCAUGAGUUGGACACUUUGCAGGCAUGAAAAUAAAAUACGGUUAUCCUAUCUGGAUGCUUUUCAAAAUAAAAGCCUGAUUCUUUUAAGUCACUGCCCUAGUUUCAUCCUGGACAGUUAUCGAGUGAAUAAUGAAACUUGUGAUGCUCUUUUUGGCUUUUGGUCAUAAAUAUGCAAAUUGUGUUUUUGUUGCGUACCACGUGACUUCAUGAACAAGUAAGUUUUCUGACUCCUAAACACAGAAUUAAAAUCAUGACGGUGUAGGUUUGGGCUGCCAGAUCUGUUCGGGGCCUAGCGCCUGUUGAAGAUGUCACACUACGGCAAGUCCAUGAAGACAAACUACGUUGCGCUCCAUUUAAUAAGUCAAAAGUGUUCAGUUAGAAGCCCCUCGCGUUUUUUUUAUUUCUGUUUGACCUCGAAACGUACAAAUUACUGUGCUGUAAUUUUUAGAUGGUUUUAAUUGUAGAUGUUAAAUUUUCUGAAGGAAAGAGAAAAAAAAUAUAUACACAGGAUCUCCAUUUAUCAGUAGAUAGUUUUGCUCAUAGUUAGAUUGUUUAGUUUUAUUCCACAUUACCGCUUACCGUAAUGUCUGGACCAACCACAAUGUUCUUCGUCAUCCAAACCAACUUUUAACCAAUCAUAUAGCGUAAUGUCACCAGGAGGCACCGGGCCCUGAGCCAAUCUGGAAGCCCGAACACAUCUGGUACCUACUCCGGAAAACAAGAUAGUGCAGCCAUGGAGACCAACAGAACAAGUUCAGUAAAAAUUGAGCAUAAAUUUUUUAAAUCUAACUCUAAAGUCUAAAAUAAUACAAAAUGAAUUUUAAAUUGUAGAUUAGGAUUGACUGCCCUUGUGUUUUGUGCUGUCUAGGCCACCGUAGCAAAGUGGAAUAACCUCUGUAAAAGCUGAAUAUUACCAUUUUUAAUAAACACAUUUAGCUUCUUUUAAACAAUGGCAGAUUUUAUAUAAAGCAAAUAUAUUUGGAUUCACAACAGAGAUCAAAACUGUUACAAAGGUGUCGGUUAAGCUUAAAUUUCUAUGAUUAUAAACAGUGAGUAAACUCCAGAUGUGUGGGUGUAGAUGGAUUGACUUUAAAGCUGUUAAAUUAAUUAUAUUUUAGAAAGCAUUAAUGGCACAAGGCCAGAAUUUAACUACAUCAAUAUGCAUUUGCCAGUUGGACCAAAAAUCUCCCAUAAAUUUCUAAUUUCUGUCACAGAAAAGAAAAAGUAAAAGAGAAAUAAGCUACAGCAAACCCGCUGUGAUGGUAAGUCAUCCCUGAAGGGUGUAAAAAUGGCAAAAGAAAAUACAUUAAUUAAAAACUCUCUGUUUUUUCAGGCUGGAUUCGUACCAAUUAUGUUAAUUUUAAAAAGUGUUAGCAGCAUUUUCAGCUGAACCAACGCCAGGUGUAAUCACUUAGCGACUAGAAAGAAACAAUCUUUUCUUACUUCUCUAAACCACAGAGCUCAUUAGAAGUUUCCAUAGUAACCACACAUGUAUAUGACCUGCCCUCUUAAUUGAUAAAAGUCCUCUCUCUGAUACUUGAUAAUGUGUUGAACUGUCAUCUUCACCUCCGUCUACAAACGAGUCUCUCUAAUGAUCACCUGGAAGUCGAUCAGCUCUGCAGGCUCUGCUGAUACUCAGAUCCACCUUAAUGGAAUCCCACCCACAACCGC
rnacentral:lncRNA from 1 species